AAAGAAAAUAGACAAAUUCUAAUUAUUUUUUCCUUCCUCCAUUGUUAUGGUUCCUCUCCUUUCCAAACAAGGGGUAAAAGAAUUGAUUGCAACUUUCCCCUUUGUUUAAAGGGCAAGUAACCUUCCACCUCAACCUUUGUUUUAAGCUUAAUAGAAAAGAGAAAAGAAAAAAGUUUGUUCUUUUAUGUGUAUUUUUGUCUUCAGGCUCUCCCGAUUUCGGCAUCGGACAAUCAAUGGAAUUUAGCAGAUAUACGCAAAAUUAAGAAGAUUGGGGAGUCAAAUGGUAUUGUGUGGUAUUGUGUGGUUAGUGGAACACAAGAACAAGGAACAGUUAUUUGCAUUUAAGGUUAUAAAAUUGAACCUCGAUAAGACUGCACUGAAAUUAAUUACCCAGGAAUUGAAAAUUAAUCAUUCACUGGAAUGUCCAUACGUUGUCAAGUACUACGAGUCUUUCUAUGCCAACGGUGAAUUUUCAAUUCUCAUGGAGUACAUGGAUUGCGGAACUUGGGGAGAUCUUCGGAAAAAAGCCAAAAAAAUUCCAGAAAAGUAUCUUGCAGCCAUUAGUAAGCAGGUGCUUGAGGGUUUAUCGUAUCUUAAUCAUCACGAAAAACACAUCAUUCACAGGGACUUGAAACCCUCCAAUUUAUUGAUAAAUCAGAGAGGAGAAGCCAAGAUCGGUGACUUUGGUGUGAGUGCAACUGUGGCAAAAACCUAUGGACAAGCAUCUACUUAUAUGGGGACAAGUUACUAUGUGGCUCCUGAGAGAAUUGAAGAACAGAGAUAUGACCACAAAAGCGACAUUUGGAGCCUGGGUUUGGUAUUUCUGAAGACUGUUGUUAACCAAGAACCACCUCGUGCACCUUCUAAUCAAUUUUCUCCAGCGUUUUGCUUCUUCAUAUCUUCAUGUUUGAAGAAAAAACCAGAAGACAGAAAAUCAGCACGUCAACUUUUGGAAGAUCCUUUCUUGAAAAAGUAUGAAAGUCAGCGAGUAGAUCUCUCAGCUUUCUUCAGAAAUGUUCUCCACUCUUCUGAAACUUUUGAGGCAAUUGAGAAGUCUAUUUGUCCAGAAUCAGCUUGGCCGUUUCAACUAGAGUCAAAGGAAGAGGCACCAACUCCGAAAAGAAAAUCAAAUAUAGAACAAGCAACAUCUUCACCAAGAUCGAUGAAGAUUAAAUACAUGGGUUCUGAGGUAGGAGUCUCUUCCAAGAGAAAGGAUAAAGAGGUGACAGAUGAACCAGAAAAAGUAGUCUCGUCGCUUUCCAAGAAAUCUUCGCGGGUCAAUCUUCAACUUUUAGCUAUCCCUCCACAGUCGGUGGUUCAGUCUGACUCUGAGAGUGUCCGAUCUAUUGUGGCAAAUGUGGUCAUGGAAGUGUCCUCUCCCAAAACUGAUAAACCUAUAGAGCUAGGUCCUAACAUGCUUGAUUUCUUUUCUUCAAUCAAUGAUUUGGCUGAAGAGCCUGGUCAGGAUGAAAUGAAGAUCAUAGAUGUUCCUAAAAGUCCUCCUGCGCCUAUUGGUCAUUCUAAUGAUCUUUCGAUCAAGCUGAACAAAACAAUGGACCGAGUUCGUGCCUUUGCAGAGCAAGGCCUUGCUUUCAUUCUAGACGAACAACAAAGUAACCAAUUUCUGGAACACACCAAGUUCUUGGCGGAGCAUUCUAGUGAUAAAUAUCUUUUCUCGGAGGCCAAAAACCAAGUCAAAACAAUGGCCUGUAAUUUUACUGCUAUAGCCAAUGACAUUGGAUCGGCUGCUUUUUUUCUUUCUGAGCAUCAAACAAAGCAGGACGAACUGGUUCAUUGUAAGGCAACCCUCGACCGAGUCAAAAAUGAAGGUCAUUGAUCUUUCCUUCGCCACUAUGGUCUAUCUGAAGUGCUUUGAGCCGGUGCUCCAUCUUUACCAACAACUUAAGAAAUACAGAAGGUAGAGAAUCCAUUUUUCCUUCACAAAUGGAAUUACUCUCUGGAGUAGGAGAAGAGUUAAAUUCUUGAAUUGCCUGAAACGGAAGGCGUGAAAAUACAUUUAAGUCCCUAAAAUCACUCAAGAACGACUCUGCGUUCUCCUUGCUUGAAGGUGAAGUGGUGCGCCAAUCUAAAUCCCGAACCAACCGGUAUUGCAAAUCUUCAACGAUGAAUGGAAUCUGAGAAAUCGUUUCCAUUUUAUAUUUAAAACGGAGCACGUGAUUUCCCUUUUCAGCUAAAUAUCUUAAACGACGAACAACCGCUCCAGGUUUUUAUCUAUUGUUUGAGGUGCUCAACAGAACAACUGCUCCAGGUUUUUAUCAGAAAAACUAAAUUUUUUGGUUCAGUUCAGUUGUGUAUGCAGACAAAUGUUGUUCUGGUGGACUGUAACUGAUUACAUUUUCCUUACAUUUGACUCAAUGGCUUUGUCUUACCAACAAUGGAAAGGAAGAUGUGAUUUUUUAUUUCCUUCAGUGCUGCCAAGAAUUCCGAGAGAGGGGAGGAAGUUGCCAUUAAGAAGAUUGGUAAUGCUUUCGAUAGCCAGAGACGUGCUAAAGGGACUCUCCGAGAGAUUAAGCUUCUUCUGCACAUGGACCAUGAAAAUGGUGAGAGCGAGUCACUGAUACAAAAGCAACAGGAGCG